rnacentral:lncRNA from 1 species
CCAAAGGAGCCCCCCCCCCCCCCCGAGGCUUGGCUAUCCUCUUCUCAGGCAGGGAGAAGGCCGAGUCCUAAAUGUGGCUCUGAGAUCUCUGUUCUUGAGUCACUUUGUGUGAUCUGGGCAGCCACUGUCUUCAGCCACCUGGCGCUGUGCCAGGCCACACUUUGGACACCACCAAUCGGAAAUCCAGAACUCUGGUCCACACCUCACAGCAAGGAAACCAUGCCCCUUAGCAAAUAGCCCAGGAAGCAAGAUAAACAUUGUUAUCUCCGUAACAACCUAAUGAGCUCACCAAUUUCCUCUGUAACAGUCAGCCCAGGACUAUAUUAGUAACAGACAGCUUCCCUAACUUUUGGCCCUGCUUUCAGUUCAGGUCAACCUGAGAAAGCUAAGUAUUAUGGCCCCUACAGAGAUAUACAGGAAUUCUUACUUCCAGCGAUGUCUCCAAUUUCCAUGAACAAUAACCUCCAUUGAAGACACAGUAAAACCUUCCCUUGGUUUUGUUCUGAGACUUAUCAACUCCUCUGUGCCCUGAGUCUCUGCCACAUGCAAACCACAGCCCAACCUUCUUGCUGUGGCACACCCAGAACAUGUUCCUUAUUUUUUUUCCACAAGAGGAAGUCAGAAAUCCCAGUGAUCUGCUAUUGCCAGGCAGCAAAUGGGUCCUGGUUUAAUACAUAAGACUAAGGUUUUCUUCAGGGAUAUCAAAGAAUCUGAGACUCAACUGGGUUUCUGGGGAGAAGAAAUCUGUUUCUUUUGGCUUGUAUAUCCAAAGAAAAUUCAUAACAGAAAAUUACAGGGCCAGAAUAUAGACAAAAAUGAAUGUUUCACAAAUGGGAACGUGUAAGAACCACAGGAACUGUGAGAAAGCUACCAGCAAUCUUGGUUAAGCUGGCCUUGGCAAUUGGCAGCGGCUGUGAUCAUAUCUGGCCACAAGGUGGUGCUGUGCUCCCUUAGCCAAAUCCUGUGCCUUACCGCCCUUCCAACAGAAAGUUCUCCUCCAGUCUUUAUCUCCCUCUUCAUUUGUGUAGAUGAAGAAGGAUGAACAACUAAGAUCCAGAGAGAGGAGUCCUAGCCUCUGGCAAUUGUGUUAGAUAAGUCACUCAAUUUCCCUGGCGGCUUUUUUCCUUUCUAAUGACUGACGUUUCCCACUUACUCUAAACACUUAAGUCCAGAAAAAUCUAAAGUUUGCCAAGAGUUGAACUAGGACCUAAUGGACCCCACAGACCUAGAGUUACCUGCUGUCAAAGCAGCAUCACCAGGGAUGUCUCCCAGCACCUUUCUACACACAAAAACACACCCUCUUGGGGCUGGCUGGGGAGAUGGCUCUCUGGUUAAGCACUUGCUGAGUGUGACCCCUAGUCCUUCCUGCUGUUGGGUGGCUCACAGUUGCCUGUAACUCUAGCGUUGAGGGAAUCCUAUGCUUCUGGCUCCGAGGGCACCUGUGUUCAUCAUAUGCACUCCUCCACACACACACUAAAACAUUCGAAAAUAAAACCAAAAUUCUUCACUCUUUACUGAACCAUUUCCGAAUGUUGUAUCAUGACAUGCGUCCUAGUAAGGGUUUCUAUUGCUGUGACGAAACACCAGGGCCGAAGCAACUUGGGAGAAAGGGUUUAUUUGGCCUUCACUUUCACAUCCCUGUUCAUCUAAGGAAGUCGGGACAGGAACUCAAGCAGGGCAGGGGUUGGUAGCAGGGGCUGGUGCAGAGGCUUCCUUCACAGGGGUCAUUCUGGUAGAAGGAAACCAGCCACACCAAGAGUGUGGUGUGUACCACUAACCUCACUAGACCCUAAGGACAGAGGAAUGCAAUCUGCACUGCCAGUUCUUAACGCUCUUUCUAGGGCUCACUGCCACACGUUUCUUUACAACUGAAAUCUGAUCAACUCAAGCCCAGAGAGAAGCGGUCAAAGUCUGAAGAUAGGACGACAGACGAGCAUGCGGCACGAUGCAUGCUGGGAAAGAUGGGGCAGACUGUAGAUGAACACGGAAGCUUUCCACCUGGUCUUGGCAUACAUUGGGAAUUUGGACUGAUGCGUUUUAUUAUUUUCGGUGCACGGGCACCCAGAGUACUUAAGUAUUUACAGGGUGCCACCGAGAGUAGACAAAAAACAUCAAAUGACAACGAUAUCCACACACUUGACAGAAACAGGUUCAGCAAGCCUACAGCGCUCACUGCUUGUUUGUGUUAGUCUGGGCAAAAUUACCACAAACCAAGCUCCGAGGGAGCACAGCCAGCCAUUGCAUAACCCUGUCCCAGAGGGCUGAACCGAAAGAUCAAAGGCAGCUGGCACUGAGUGCUGAACAGCCCAGCCAUCAGGUCUCACGAACUGAACAGGCCCAACACAGAUGGAAAAUGUCCUGGUGUUUGUCUCCAAGCCUUUCAGACGCCGGCCAAAUGGGAGAAAGCACACAGGCAGCACCAUCCGCCCCAGAGGCAGCAAGGGAAGGCUUAGAAAGCUGUUUUCCAAGGUGAUGGUUGGAACUUACAGUGUUCAGGGGUUAAGUGGGAAGCUGGGGAGAGGCUCAGUGAGGAAAUGGGGUUUGCCCUGCAAGUCUGGGGACCUGAGUUUGAGUCCCAGAACCCAAGUUAAGGUGGAAAAAGACAACGGCCAGGCCUCUCAGCAGGAAGUAUUCCGGUCAUAUUGGGACACAAGCUCUCCUCUCCUUUUUACAGUUCUCAUCCAGGAAUCAAAUGGCUCCUUCUACUGAUCCCCCAAAGUUAUCUUCAGAUCUCCAUACAUACAUCACACAAACAUUCUAUACACACUCCAUCACAUACACACCUUUGUACAGACAAUAGACAGACACACAUUAGUAACAAUAAGAUUAAAAGUUUUUUUUUAUAAAGAACAAAAAAGGGUUGUGCAUGUAUGUUGGGCCAUAGGCAAAGAGUCUUAUAGAGAAAGCCCUUCUGAUCUGGGGGUGGAGGCUGCAAUACAGAUGCAUUAUCUGCCUUGCAUAUUCUAGAAGCUACUGGCCACAAAGGUGUCACCUUCCCCCACCCCCAAAUAAUUUUCACUAUAUUUUAUUUACUCUGUGUAUUAAUUUUCACUAUAUUUUAUUUACUCUGUGUGUUAAUUUUCACUAUAUUUUAUUUACUCCGUGUGUGUUUGUGUAUAUCUGUAUGAGCAUGCCACACCACAGCACCCAUGGAGGUCAGAGGACAAUGUGAAGGGAUUGGCUCUCUUCCUCUGCCAUGUGGGUCCUGAGGAUGGAACUCAAGUUUUCAGGCUCAGAGGCGAUCUCCUUACACCUACUGAGCCAUCUUCUAGCUGGCCUACACUUUUAUUUUUAUGUCACUGGCUAAAGAAGAAAAAAAUUAUUC